GGCGACUUGGAGAAGUGGUAUAACUCGCCCCAAUGGACUAACAAGUCUAUGAGAGAGGCGGGGGUUCGAGUCUCUCAGACGCCG